GACGAACGCUGGCGGCGUGCUUAACACAUGCAAGUCGAACGGAAAGGCUCCAGCUUGCUGGAGUACUCGAGUGGCGAACGGGUGAGUAACACGUGGGUAAUCUGCCCUGCACUCUGGGAUAAGCCUGGGAAACUGGUUCUAAUACUUGAUAUGACCUUUCUCCUGAUGGGGUUUGUUGGAAAGUUUUUCGGUGUAGGAUGAGCCCGCGGCCUAUCAGCUUGUUGGUGGGGUGAUGGCCUACCAAGGCGACGACGGGUAGCCGGCCUGAGAGGGUGAUCGGCCACAUUGGGACUGAGAUACGGCCCAGACUCCUACGGGAGGCAGCAGUGGGGAAUAUUGCACAAUGGGCGGAAGCCUGAUGCAGCGACGCCGCGUGAGGGAUGACGGCCUUCGGGUUGUAAACCUCUUUCAGCAGGGACGAAGCGUAAGUGACGGUACCUGCAGAAGAAGCACCGGCUAACUAUGUG
rnacentral:rRNA from 1 species